rnacentral:rRNA from 1 species
GACGUAGGGCGCGAGCGUUGUCCGGAUUUAUUGGGCGUAAAGAACUCGUAGGCUGGCGUCUGUCGCGUCGACUGUGAAACCCGCAGCUCAACUGUGGGCUUGCAGCCGAUACGGGCAGGCUAGAGUUCGGUAGGGGAGACUGGAAUUCCUGGUGUAGCGGUGAAAUGCGCAGAUAUCAGGAGGAACACCGGUGGCGAAGGCGGUCUCUGGGCCGAUACUGACGCUGAGGAGCGAAAGCGUGGGAGCGAACAGG